UACGUAGGGUGCGAGCGUUGUCCGGAAUUAUUGGGCGUAAAGAGCUUGUAGGCGGUUUGUCGCGUCUGCUGUGAAAAUCCGGGGCUCAACCCGGACCUUGCAGUGGGUACGGGCAGACUGGAGUGUGGUAGGGGAGACGUGGAAUUCCUGGUGUAGCGGUGGAAUGCGCAGAUAUCGGGAGGAACACCCGUAGCGAAGGCGGACACUCUGGGCCGGAACUGACGCUGAGGAGCGGAAAGCGUGGGGAG
rnacentral:rRNA from 1 species